UACAGGGGGUGCAAACGUUGUCCGGAUUUAUUGGGCGUAAAGAGCGUGUAGGCGGUUUUACAGGUCCGCUGUGAAAACUCGAGGCUCAACCUCGAGCUGUCGGUGGAAACCGUAAGGCUAGAGUCCGGAAGAGGAGAGUGGAAUUCCUGGUGUAGCGGUGAAAUGCGCAGAUAUCAGGAAGAACACCCGUGGCGAAGGCGGCUCUCUGGGACGGUACUGACGCUGAGACGCGAAAGCGUGGGGAGCGAACAGG
rnacentral:rRNA from 1 species